rnacentral:rRNA from 1 species
GACGAACGCUGGCGGCGUGCUUAACACAUGCAAGUCGAACGAAGAGCGAUGGAAGCUUGCUUCUAUCAAUCUUAGUGGCGAACGGGUGAGUAACGCGUAAUCAACCUGCCCUUCAGAGGGGGACAACAGUUGGAAACGACUGCUAAUACCGCAUACGAUCUGACCUCGGCAUCGAGGAUAGAUGAAAGGUGGCCUCUAUUUAUAAGCUAUCACUGAAGGAGGGGAUUGCGUCUGAUUAGCUAGUUGGUGGGGUAACGGCCCACCAAGGCGAUGAUCAGUAGGCGGUCUGAGGGGAUGGACGGCCACAUUGGGACUGAGACACGGCCCAGACUCCUACGGGAGGCAGCAGGGGGGAAUCUUCCGCAAUGGACGAAAGUCUGACGGAGCAACGCCGCGUGAGUGAUGACGGCCUUCGGGUUGUAAAGCUCUGUUAAUCGGGACGAAAGGCCUUCUUGCGAAUAGUUAGAAGGAUUGACGGUACCGGAAUAGAAAGCCACGGCUAACUACGUG